UGUCGACGAACCAAAUACCACCAAAGGGUAUGCAAAAAGUCCAUAAGAUAUAGAUCCAUGUUCUUCAGAUCACACAAGGAAUUGCAUAAUUGGAUGAUGUUUAUCUACAGGUAGGCCAAUACUAUUAUUAGGCCUGUAUUGUGUCAACAGCCAAAUGUUUCUACAAGACUAUCAAAGCUGGUUUUAUCCUCAUUUGUGAACUCAUUUAUCCAUUCACAAGAUUUUGCCAGGGUCUUCGACUGCGUCAGAUUGAUCUGAUGGCUGAUGGUGUUGCACACAGUUCGGCUACUCUUUCCAAAAUGGCAAAGAAGAUUAGAAAGGUGUGCACAACAUCUUUGAAAAGAAUGAAGUUGAGAAAGACAUUCAAAAUUGGUGGACAUUCAAACAAUCGAUUUGUGGUCAUUGAUUAGUCAAAAUUCAUCCAUAAACGAAAGUACAACCGUGGAAGAUUUGGGGGCACUUGGGCAAGGAAGGGCUGGGUGUUUGGAAUGCUGGAAGUGCACCGACAGACCAGAAGACCAAUUCUAAAGUUAGUGAAGACCCGCGCUCGAGCAACACUGAUCCCCAUCAUAGAGAAGCAUGUACGAUGCAACUCAAAUAUAUAUAGUGAUUCCUGGAGAGCUUAUGUGAAUGCACUCAAUCCAAGAGGUUACCGCCAUUUCCCAGUCAACCACCGGCACCAUUUUGUUGACCCUUUGACAGGGAGUCACACUCAACACAUUGAGCGAUUCUGGAGGACUGUUAAGGAACAAAUUUGGAGAGUGAGAGGAAACAGGAGUGAAAAGUUGUUAAAGACUCACUUGAAAGUGAUUGAGUGGACUUACUGGUUAGGGAAAAGGAAUGCAAAGGGUGUUUUUGCACAGAUGGUUCACGAUAUUGCAAAAACGUACAAGGUUUAAGUACACAGGGACUCAGAAAUGUGUGUGUUAUAUUCUCUGUUCUGUAUGCUUUGUUAAAUUAAAUAAACCGUACAUGUUGUUUGUUCCUAAAUAGACAUUUGUUGAAAAGAUAUCAAAUAUAUUUUGAUGAAUACAUUUUGUUUACUACUUUUUGGAAAUUUUCUUGGGUGACCAAAAACAAUUAUUUUCAUAUAUGAAGGUCGCCUAUACAG